rnacentral:rRNA from 1 species
UACGUAGGGGGCAAGCGUUGUCCGGAUUUAUUGGGCGUAAAGAGCGUGUAGGCGGCUUUACAGGUCCGUUGUGAAAACUCGAGGCUCAACCUCGAGACGCCGGUGGAAACCGUAAAGCUAGAGUCCGGAAGAGGAGAGUGGAAUUCCUGGUGUAGAGGUGAAAUUCGUAGAUAUCGGGAGGAACACCGGUGGCGAAGGCGGCGACCUGGGUAGAUACUGACGCUGAGGCGGCG